rnacentral:rRNA from 1 species
GACGUAGGGCGCGAGCGUUGUCCGGAUUUAUUAGGCGUAAAGAGCUCGUAGGCGGCUUGUCGCGUCGACUGUGAAAACCCGUGGCUCAACCAUGUGGUCUGCAGUCGAUACGGGCAGGCUAGAAUUCGGUAGGGGAGACUGGAAUUCCUGGUGUAGCGGUGAAAUGCGCAGAUAUCAGGAGGAACACCGGUGGCGAAGGCGGGUCUCUGGGCCGAUAUUGACGCUGAGGAGCGAAAGCGUGGGGAGCGAACAGG